rnacentral:ncRNA from 2 species
AUAGCCCUCGGGGAUCGGGUGUAAGUCCCGACCGGCGGUGAUCCUUGCCCCACAUCUGUGGUGCUGGUAGCCCGCGAACCUGCCGCAGCCUGUGGCGGGCCGACUAGGUGAGACUCCUAGGCCGACGGUCAAAGUCCGGAUGAAAUGGGGGCGAC